rnacentral:rRNA from 1 species
UCUUGAUUAUAAAUAAAUAAAAUUUACCAGAGUAGUAUGAAUAUAUAAAAUUUAAAACUCAAAGGGCUUGGCGGUGUCUUAGACCACUUAGGGGAACCUGUCUCAUAAUCGACAAUCCACGUUACACCUAACCUUUUUUUGUUUUCAGCUUGUAUACCGUUGUCGUCAGGUAACUUCUAAAAAACUAUAAGUUAGCUAUAAAUCAAAUGAAUUAAAACGUCAAAUCAAGGUGCAGCUUAUAAAAAGGAGAGGAUGGGUUACAAUUAAUAUUUAUAAUUACGGAUAAUUUUUUAGAAAUGAAAAUUAGAAGGAGGACUUAAAAGUAAAUUAAAUUAUAAAAACAUUUUGAAUUAGGCUCUGAGACGUGC